CUAAGAAGUGAACUUGCAUUCAAAACAUCUUGGUAAUCGGCAUCUUUCCAUCACUUUCCUCGACUCAGACCCACCGAUCUCACUAUGGGGGGAAUAGAAUGCACUUUCAUCUUAGGUUAUGUAUUCACCUUGCUUCCCCUUCCAAUCGUAUUUUUCUCCAUUUUCCCCACACUUUUUUUCUCCUAUUUACUCCCCAUUUGCCCAUCAUUUAGCCAAGAAAAUGAAACCCUAAAUCCCCAAAAUCACCAUUUUGGUUAAACCUUUUUGUGUAAGCUAUGAGAGCCCUCAAGACCUUGUGGUUCAAAUUAGUUGGGCGUUGUUUCUUGCUCCGAGUUGUGGUGCGCAACUGCGUGAGGAAACACCUCUAUUCCUCUGCCAUCUUCGCCGAUAAAGUCGCAGCCUUCACCACCGACCCACUGACCUCGUCUACUGAAGGAGGAAUUGAAGGAGUGGGAUCAGUGCCUGACGAUGCUGGGAAUACGUUACACUAGGGACAUCAAAUCAUUAAACAUGGAAGACUUCAAAUAUGCUCACCAGGAAGGAUGUCAUCUUCUCAUCUUCAGUAAACAAAACAACUUAGAAUUAGAUUACAACUUUAGCUUUAUAGCUACCUUUUCAAUGUUGUCUUUUUUUUUUCUGGAUGCAUGAAUAUUUUGGUACA